UUAAUUGAAACCAAAAAGAGGUACAUCACUGUUAAUGAUGAAAUUGAGUUUUAAUCUCCAAUUAAA